rnacentral:rRNA from 1 species
AUGUUGACCACGAAGCACUAUAUUCCUUGCAGGCGUUUGCCCAAUUUCGUUUCCAACAUGAGCAAGCCAUGCGACGGUGCCAAGACGGAGUGGCCUGAGCUGGUCGGGCGCACGAUCAAGGAGGCGGAGGAGAAGAUCAAGGCGGACCGACCGGACCUCAAAGUUGUCAUUGUCCCGGUAGGAAGUGUUGUGACACAGGAGGUCGAUCUGAACCGCGUCCGCGUCUGGGUCGACACAGUGGCGGAGGUUCCCAAGAUUGGCUAG